AGUAAUGUAUGGGGAUCUGCCUGAUGGCGGGGGAUAACUACUGGAAGCGGUAGCUAAUACCGCAUAAUGUCUGCGGACCAAAGCGGGGGACCUCCGGGCCUCGCGCCAUCAGAUGAACCCAUAUGGGAUUAGCUUGUAGGUAAGGUAACGGCUUACCUAGGCGACGAUCCCUAGCUGGUCUGAGAGGAUGAUCAGCCACACUGGGACUGAGACACGGUCCAG
rnacentral:rRNA from 1 species